UCCAGUUCAGACUCAAUAAACUCACGUUGACGUUCGUGUCGUGUGGACCUGCUGAACUUCAACAUGUUCCACCGGUGUGUUUUCCUGCUGCUCGUCACCCUCUUCGCCGUCUCUCUGGCAGCUCCUGUCCCAGAUGAUUCAGCGGACA